rnacentral:rRNA from 1 species
UUGACCUCGGAUUCAGGGUAGGGAUACCCGCUGAAACUUAAGCAUAUCAAUAAGCGGAGGGAAAAAGAAACCAACAGGGAUUGCCCUAGUAACGGCGAGUGAAGCGGCAACAGCUCAAAUUUGAAAUCUGGCGUCUUCGGCGUCCGAGUUGUAAUUUGCAGAGGGCGCUUUGGCAUUGGCAGCGGUCCAAGUUCCUUGGAACAGGACGUCACAGAGGGUGAGAAUCCCGUACGUGGUCGCUAGCCUUUACCGUGUAAAGCCCCUUCGACGAGUCGAGUUGUUUGGGAAUGCAGCUCUAAAUGGGAGGUAAAUUUCUUCUAAAGCUAAAUACUGGCCCAGAGACCGAUAGCGCACAAGUAGAGUGAUCGAAAGAUGAAAAGCACUUUGGAAAGAGAGUUAAAAAGCACGUGAAAUUGUUGAAAGGCAAGCGCUUGCAGCCCAGACUUGCCUGUAGUUGCUCAUCCGGGUUUUUACCCGGGGCACUCUUCUAUAGGCAGGCCAGCAUCAGUUUGGGCGGUUGGAUAAAGGUCUCUUCAUUAC